rnacentral:lncRNA from 1 species
CACCAUCACCAAAACCUCAGCCUCCUUAUUAUUAUCACUCUCCACCUCCUCCAACACCAGUUGUUAAGCCACCAUACUACUACCAAUCUCCACCUCCUCCAUCUCCAAAACCUAAGCCUCCAUACUACUACCAAUCUCCUCCUCCUCCAUCACCAAAACCUAAACCUCCUUACUACUACCAAUCUCCACCUCCUCCAUCACCAAAACCUCAGCCUCCAUACUACUAUCAAUCUCCACCUCCUCCAACACCAGUUGUGAAGCCACCAUACUACUACCAAUCUCCACCUCCUCCAUCACCAAAACCUCAGCCUCCUUACUAUUACCAAUCUCCACCUCCUCCAACACCAGUUGUUAAGCCACCAUACUACUAUAAAUCUCCACCUCCCCCAUCACCCUCUCCUCCACCACCAUACUACUACAAAUCUCCACCACCACCAUCCCCAUCACCGCCACCUCCAUACUACUAUAAAUCUCCACCUCCACCAUCACCGGUUGUUAAGCCACCAUACUACUAUAAAUCCCCACCUCCCCCAUCACCCUCUCCUCCCCCUCCAUACUACUAUAAAUCUCCACCUCCAUACUACUACCACUCUCCACCUCCACCAUCACCAGUUGUUAAGCCACCAUACUACUACAAAUCUCCACCUCCACCAUCACCCUCACCUCCCCCUCCAUACUACUAUAAAUCUCCACCCCCACCUUCACCAUCCCCUCCUCCUCCAUACUAUUAUAAAUCACCACCACCACCAUCCCCAUCACCGCCACCUCCAUACUAUUACAAAUCCCCUCCAC